rnacentral:rRNA from 1 species
AGAGUUUGAUCCUGGCUCAGGAUGAACGCUAGCGGCAGGCUUAACACAUGCAAGUCGAGGGGCAGCACGGGUAGCAAUACCUGGUGGCGACCGGCGCAAGGGGGCGUAACGCGUGUGUAAUCUACCAUUAACCGGGGAAUAGCCCAGAGAAAUCUGGAUUAAUGCCCCAUAGUAUUAUCGAAAGGCAUCUUUUGAUAAUUAAAGCUCAGGCGGUUUUUGAUGAACAUGCGUGUCAUUAGUUUGUUGGUGAGGUAACGGCUCACCAAGACUACGAUGACUAGGGGGUCUGAGAGGAUGAUCCCCCACACUGGUACUGAGACACGGACCAGACUCCUACGGGAGGCAGCAGUAAGGAAUAUUGGGCAAUGGAUGGAAAUCUGAUCCAGCCAUGCCGCGUGAAGGAAGAAUGUCCUAUGGAUUGUAAACUUCUUUUGUACGGGAAUAACCCUCCGAACGUGUUCGGAGCUGAAGGUACCGUAAGAAUAAGGAUCGGCUAACUCCGUGCCAGCAGCCGCGGUAAUACGGAGGAUCCAAGCGUUAUCCGGAUUUACUGGGUUUAAAGGGUGCGUAGGCGGAUUGAUAAGUCAGUGGUGAAAGCCUGCAGCUUAACUGCAGAACUGCCAUUGGAUAUGCNNNAGCUGGAGUAUGGUUGAGGUAGCUGGAAUGUGUAGUGUAGCGGUGAAAUGCUUAGAUAUUACACAGAACACCAAUUGCGAAGGCAGCUUACUAAACUGAUACUGACGCUGAUGCACGAAAGCGUGGGGAGCGAACAGGAUUUAGAUACCCUGGUAGUCCACGCUGUAAACGAUGAUUACUCGUUGUGGGCGAUAUGGAGUCGGUGGCUAAGCGAAAGCGAUAAGUAAUCCACCUGGGGAGUACGUUCGCAAGAAUGAAACUCAAAGGAAUUGACGGGGCCCGCACAAGCGGAGGAGCAUGUGGUUUAAUUCGAUGAUACGCGAGGAACCUUACCUGGGCUCGAACNGAAUCUUGUGGAAACACGAGAGUGCCUCGCAAGAGGAGCCUGGUGACAGGUGCUGCAUGGUUGUCGUCAGCUCGUGCCGUGAGGUGUUAGGUUAAGUCCUGCAACGAGCGCAACCCUUACCUUUAGUUGCCAGCAUGUAAUGAUGGGGACUCUAAAGGAACUGCCUACGCAAGUAGUGAGGAAGGUGGGGAUGACGUCAAAUCAGCACGGCCCUUAUGUCCAGGGCGACACACGUGCUACAAUGGCCGAUACAAAGGGCAGCUACCAGGUGACUGGAUGCGAAUCUUUAAAAUCGGUCUCAGUUCGGAUCGGAGUCUGCAACUCGACUCCGUGAAGUCGGAUUCGCUAGUAAUCGCGCAUCAGCCAUGGCGCGGUGAAUACGUUCCCGGGCCUUGUACACACCGCCCGUCAAGCCAUGGAAGUUGGGGGUGCCUAAAGUUCGUGACCGCAAGGAGCGACCUAGGGUAAAACCAAUGACUGGGGCUAAGUCGUAACAAGGUAACC